UAGCGUAAAAGGUAGUAUUACCUUUUACGUUACAAGCAGCUUGUAGCA
ncrna:unclassified sequences ssNA-helicase RNA